rnacentral:rRNA from 1 species
GACGAACGCUGGCGGCGUGCUUAACACAUGCAAGUCGAACGGAAAGGCCCUGCUUGCAGGGUACUCGAGUGGCGAACGGGUGAGUAACACGUGGGUGAUCUGCCCUGCACUUCGGGAUAAGCCUGGGAAACUGGGUCUAAUACCGGAUAGGAGCCAUUUUUAGUGUGAUGGUUGGAAAGUUUUUUCGGUGUAGGAUGAGCUCGCGGCCUAUCAGCUUGUUGGUGGGGUAAUGGCCUACCAAGGCGGCGACGGGUAGCCGGCCUGAGAGGGUGGACGGCCACAUUGGGACUGAGAUACGGCCCAGACUCCUACGGGAGGCAGCAGUGGGGAAUAUUGCACAAUGGGCGCAAGCCUGAUGCAGCGACGCCGCGUGGGGAAUGACGGCCUUCGGGUUGUAAACUCCUUUCGCUAGGGACGAAGCUUUUUGUGACGGUACCUAGAGAAGAAGCACCGGCUAACUACGUG